GAUGAAGAACGUAGCGAAAUGUGAUACUUGGUGUGAAUUGCAGAAUCCCGUGAACCAUCGAGUCUUUGAACGCAAGUUGCGCCCGAAGCCAUUAGGCCGAGGGCACGCCUGCCUGGGCGUCACACGUCGUUGCCCCCCCAUCUACUCCUUCGGGAUUGCGGGGGGCGGAUGAUGGCCUCCCGUGCGCCUCGUCGCGCGGUUGGCAUAAAUACCAAGUCCUCGGCGACGCACGCCACGACAAUCGGUGGUUGCGAAACCUCGGUUGCCCGUCGUGUGCGGUCGUCGCGCAUCGAGGGCUCGAAAAAAUUGCCGGGCUCCGGCUCGGCUUUCAACGCGACCCCAGGUCAGGCGGGGUUACCCGCUGAAUUUAAGCAUAUCAAUAAGCGGAGGA
rnacentral:misc_RNA from 1 species